GGCGGAGUAGUCAGGCCAGGCUUGAAAUAGCUGCUCCCAAAGAAAGCCUCGUUGGCCCUAGGUUGGAUGACUUGUUAUCUGGGGUCGUGAUGGAGUCGGAUUGGGAUGUGCUGAGAGUGCGGGGAGGGUUACCGCCACGUGCCUGCUGCUGUGGGCGGCUUGGGGGGCGAGCUACACAGUCUAUGUUUACCUGCUGCCCAGGCACGCCGGGGCAAACCCUGGCUCCCGGCGCACAGAGCCUGGGCAGGUGAGGAAGGAGGGCUGCGAGCCAGGCAGGUAGGGGUGGGGACAGCAAGAACGAGGACAGAUGACAGGUGAGGGUCCCUAAUCAGGGCAGAGGCCAGGGACUCCUGGAAGAAAGACAGGUGAAGGCUGGAGCAACUAGGGCAAGGGAGGCAUGGAAUGCAUGAAAUUCUCGAACCAGGAGGGGUUGGGCUUCAGUGAAGGAGGGUCCCAGAAAAGGUGCAAAAAGGGAAGAGGGACAGUGGAGGGGAUGAUAGGGGGCUGGAUCUGGGGGUGCUUCCCUCCUGCCCUCUUUCUAGUGGUGACAGGAGCCACCAACGGCAUCAGCAAGGCUUAUGCACAUGAGCUCGCCGGGAGAGGUCUGAACAUCGUCCUCAUCAGUCGAGACCUGAGCAAGUUGGAGCACGAGGCAAAGGCGAUAGAGAGGCUUCAUGGCAAAAGCACACGAGUCAUCCAGGUGGAUUUCACCGGAGGCUUGGAGAUCUACGAGGCCAUUGCGGCAGGACUGAAGGACCUGGAGAUCGGAGUACUGAGUACGUCCCUGUGCCUGUUGGGAGGAGCGCUGCCCUCAACUGCCCCCGUGCUCACCCUAACCCGGAACUCUCUGUGGUCGCCCUCCCUUUUGCCCCUACCCCGUCUCCCUGGGACCGUUGGAGUGAAACAAAUAAUUUGUCCCCUCUCACUCAGUAAACAGUGUGGGCAAGCAAUACGCACCUGGCUUGAGGAAACUGCUCGACUGUGAGGACUUCGCCAAAAAUUCUUGGAUGUUAUAAACUGCAACAUGAUGUCUGUGGUCCAGAUGAGUCGGGGCUGGGAGGGACUGGGUCCAAAGUCAGCGAGCUCUGACCACUCUCGGUGGUCCCCAGCGUCCCCCAGAACUGGGCCUGGCAUAGAGGAAGUGCUAGAGGAAUACUCCCUGAGGGAAGGUAGGGGGAUAGGAGUGAACUUGAGGAGGGGCAGGAGUCUGGGUAGGUGAAAGCAGUGAAAAGGGAAAGACAGGGUCCUCUCCAUUCCUCCUGCAGAUGACUAGGAUCGUCCUGCCCCAAAUGGUCACCAGGGUUUCCUGCUGACCAUCUUCCUGCCCAGUUGGUUUUUUCUCAGUCGCUGGGGAUUAAAGCUUUUAUCUCUGUUGGUGAGCUGGAAUAGGGCACGGUUUCUUCGUCACAGAACUUGACUGAAGGCCUUGAAGAGGCGUGGCCACAUGUCCGUCGUUCCCCACCCCCACCCCCGCCCCCUCCAGAAUCCUAGGCCAGGGCUGUAGUUAGCAAAGACUUCCCACACAUCGAGACAGAUGGACAAGCAGACCAAUGGAACGUAGUUGGACCCCCGAACACCCAGAAAUUUACUAACAACUGCAGCAUCUCAAAUCUCUGGCAGAAAGAUGGAGUUUUUAAUAUGUGGCGCUGAGACUACAUAGACAUUUGGAGAAAAACAAGCAAACAGAUAUAUACAUACAUAGAUACGUACAUAUAUAGACUGUAGCGAUGAUGGCUGCACAACUUUGUGAAAUACUAAAACCCACUAAAUUGUACACAUUAAAAGGGUUAAUUUUAUGGUAUGUGAAUUAAAUCUCAAUUUAAAAAUCUCAAUAAAAAUAUUUUUAAAAUAGAGACUCCCUGUGUGUGUGUGUGUGUGUGUGUGUGUGUCUGUGUGUAUACAUAUAUGUAUAAAAUUGGAUCCAGUCCUCACACCAUGUACCGGCAUAAACUGCAGAUGAAUCAGAAAUCCCUAAAUCCCUGUGUAAAAAUAGAAACACAACAACUAGAAGAAUCCACGAAUGAAUUUCUUUCCAUCUUGGGAGUGGAAGAAUCUUUCUUAUUAAUACUGAAAAUUAAAAGCAGCAAAAAAAGCCAAAACCAAAACCAAACAAAAAACCACUAACAAAUAUUGAACUGUAGUUAAUGAUAUGCAGGCUGAAUUAUUUAGGAAAAGUGCACUGAUGUCAGCAACUUACUUUGAAAUGCAUUUAAAAGUUAGACAGAGUGAGUAGAAAUAUGGUUAGACAAGUAUGGUAAAAUGUUAGUAGAAUCUAAGCGGUAGACACAUGUACACCUCUUUCAACUUUCCUGUAUAUUUGAAGUGUUUCAUAAUAAAAUGCUGGGAGAGGGACUUCCCUGGUGGUCCAGCGGUAAAGAAUCCGCCUUCCGAUACAGGGGACGCUGGUUCGAUCCCUGGUCGGGGAACUAGGAUCCCACAUACCGUGGGGCAAUUGAGCCCGCGUGCUGCAAACUACUAGCCCUGGAGCCUGCGCCCAGCAACUAGAGAGAAGCCCGCACGCCACAACGAAGAGCCCCUCGUGCUGCAACGGAAAUAUCCCGCAUACCUCAGCGAAGAUCCUACAUGCCACAACUAGGACCCGACACAGGCAAAAAAUUAAAAAAUAAAAAUAAUAAAAUAAAAAUGUCUUUUAAAAAUGCUGGGGAAAAUCCAGGAGCAAUAAAAUUAAAUUUAUAAAUAAAACGUCUUAAGCAGAUUUAGAAAUUACUUAAGAAAAGAUGAUACGCUUCUUAUUAUCACAUUUCCGGAGAAGGACGGCUCGAGCCCUGGAGAAUAAACGGACUUUUUUGCGGAGAAACGCGGAUGCAGACCAUCGAAGAGACACCAUAAAGCGGCCCUAAUUUUGAGCUUUGGCGCGGGUGGUUGUGGGUAGCGCGCCCAAGAAGGAGGAUGAAUGAGGAGCGUCCCCGCGCGCCGAAGAGGCGAUGCUGGUCGCCGCGACCCUGGCAGGAGCUGCAGGCCCUGUGCUAGGAGCUGAACGUGGACGAGGGGAGCGCAGCCUAAGCCCUGGAAGACUUCACAACUGUCCAGGGCAACUACAGCCUAGAGGGAGAAGUAAGUUAUACACUGGUUGGCUUGUUCAUUAUAUCUUGCCUGCCUCAAAAGCAUUAUUCCCACGGUUGGAAAGGGUAUCAUGGAAGGAAAUUGUGUUUCACUUACCAGAAUACUACCUUCAGCUAAAUUAAGUUUAAUACAGUUUUUUAGUAAAAUGAAGAAGUGGAUGGACCUGUCUAGAAUUUUGUGAACGUAUGGAAAGGCUAGAAAGAAAUUUUGAGGGGUCUGCUGUAAUUUUCAAAAACGUUGAGCCAGUUUUUUUUUAUAUAUUUAUUUUAUUUAUUUAUUUAUUUAUUUAGGCUGCGUUGGGUCUUCGUUGCUGCGCGGGGGCCUUCUCUAGUUGCAGAGAGCAGGAGCUACUCUUCGUUGUGGUGCUCAGGCUUCUCAUUGCGGUGGCUUCUCUUGCUGCGGAGCACGGGCUCUAGGUGCGCGGGCUUCAGUGGUUGUGGCACUUGGGCUCAGUAGUUGUGGCUCGCGGGCUCUAGAGAGCAGGCUCAGUAGUUGUGGCACACAGGUUUAGUUGCUCCACGGCACGUGGGAUCUUCCCGGACCAGGGCUUGAACCCGUGUCCCCUGCAUUGGCAGGCAGAUUCUUAACCACUGUGCCACCAGGGAAGCCCUCUUUAACCCUCUUUAAUCUGCAUCCAUUCCUCAUCUUUUCUUUGUGCUGUGCGACAUUAACAUUUUUGAAGCAGAAAUAUUUUGAAGUUGAAAAACACAAUAAGUUUUAUGGAAGAGAGAUUGAUUAGAGGAAUAAGAUCUUAUGCAGUUGAGGCAGUGUCGAGAAGGUCCAGAAAGGGGAGUUAGGGGAUCAGUGGAAAAUACCAGUCAGCCUUCUGGAAGCAGUAGUGCAGGUGGACAAGUCAGAGCUUUCAGGAAAAUCUGGGAAGUUGUAUAUCCAGCUGCUAGAGUGGUAUCACGAAGGACAGCUGGUGAGGAAGUCUGUGGAAGGCAUCUGGUUGUGGGCCUGGGGUCACUGUUGGUCAGCAGGGCAGAAAGUUGAGAGGAGAUGAGCACAGUUUGGGGGAAACAAGGUCCCUGUGCUUUUUCAUCUCUCUUUCUCUACACUGAACGGGAGAGUAAGAGCAAGCUGGAACCCACUGGCACAUCUGUGUGGGUAGAACAAUGACCAUAUGUGGGUAGAACAAUGAGCAGGCUUCACUUCUUCCUUUAUAUUUUCAUGCAAUUUGCUCUUUCAGCCAACUCUAACCUAGUACCAUACAGGGAAGAGGGAGUCUAAGAAAGAUGGGUCCCCCUUAGCCCAGCUGACACAGUACAAAACCACCACAAAAGUGCGCCCUGUUUUCUCUAUUUCAAAAGAGUUUUUCUGAGAUUGGUACUCCUCCCUUAAUUGUCUGGAAGAUUUCACCAGUAAGACCAUCUGGGCCGGGGCUUCCCUGGUGGUACAGUGGCUCAGAAUCCGCCUGCCAGUGCAGGGGACAUGGGUUUGAGCCCUGGUCCAGGAAGAUCUCACAUGCCAUGGAACAACUAAGCCCGUGCGCCACAACUGCUGAGCCUGUGCUCUAGAGCCUGCGAGCCACAAUUACUGAGCUCGUGUGCCACAACUACUGAAGCCUGCGCGCCUAGAGCCCGUGCUCUGCAACAAGAAAAGCCACUGCAAUGAGAAGCCCGCGCACCACAACAAAGAAUAGCACCCCCGCCACAACUAGAGAAAGCCCGUGUGAAGCAGCGAAGACCCAAUGCACCCAAAAAUAAAUAAAUUAAUUUAAAAAAAAACCAUCUGGGCCUGGAUUUUUGUGGUUAAAGUUUUAAACUAUGCGUUAAAUUUCUUUGAUAGAUAUAGGACUAUUCAGAUUUUCUAUUUCUUCUUGGGUCAGUUGUGGUAUUUUUCAAAUAAUUUUUCCAGCUCAUCAAAAUGUUCAAAUGUAUUGAUAUGAACUGGUUCAUAAUAUCCUCUUAUUACCCUUUUCAUGCUUGUAGGAUCUAUAGUGAUGUCUCAUUUUGAGUCCUGAUAUUGGUAAUUUUUCUCUUUUGUUUUUCUUCAUUGGUCUUGAUUGGGAUUUAUUGAUUAUAUUGAGCUUUCAAAUAGACAGCUUUUGGCUUGUUGACUUUUAUAUUGUAUAUUUGUUUUCUAUUUUGUUGAUUUCUGCUCUUAUCUAUAUUAUUUUAUUUUCUACUCUGUUUUAAAUUUGUUUUUCUUUCUCUACCUUCUUAGAUCUUUGAUUUUUAAAUUUUACUUUUCUGAUAUAUACAUUAAAGCUAUACGUUUCCCUCUAAACAUAAUGCUUACAGUAUCCAUAAAUUUUGCUAUGUUACAUUUUUACUGUCAUUCAGUUAAAAAUGAGUCCUUAUUCCCAUUUUAAUUUCUUCUUUGACUCAUGGGUUAUUCAGAAAUAUGUUGCUUAAUUUCCAAACAGAGAUAUUCUAGUUAUCUAACUACUGUAGUGCUCUAAUUUAAUUCAAAAGUGAUUGGAGAGCCCAGAAUAUAGUCUAUUUUGUGAUGCCCUUCUUUAUUACUGAUAACUUUCCUUGCUUUGAAGUCUGCUGUGUCUGAAAUUAAUAUAGUAUAUAUUAUAAAAAUAAUGAUCUGUUGGCAAAAAAUUCCCUCAAUUUUGGUUUGUUGCGGGAAGUCCUUAUUUCUCUUCCUUUUUUUUUUUUUUUGUGGUACGCGGGCCUCUCACUGUUGUGGCCUCUCCCGUUGCGGAGCACAGGCUCCGGACACGCAGGCUCAGCGGCCAUGGCUCACGGGCCUAGCCUCUUCGCGGCAUGUGGGAUCUUCCCGGACAGGGUCACGAACCCAUGUCCCCUGCAUCGGCAGGUGGACUCAACCACUGCGCCACCAGGGAAGCCCCCUGCCUUGUAAUUUUUUCUUGAUAGCCAGACAUGAUGUGCUGGGUAAAAGGAACUAAAUAGACCUUAAGAAAUGUGGUGGUGAGGUGUAGGUCGGGGCGGCAGGGGAAGAAUUCUACAAUCCUAUGAUUGGUCUCAGUCUUUUGGUGAGUUUAUGCCUCUAGACUAUGAACUUCACAAGUGUUUUUAAUUUUUUUCUCCCUCUUAAGUGGGAGAGUAUGACUAGUGUGGGCUGGAGUUGGGUAUUCCCCUUCCCCAGAUGAGUUAGGCUCUGAUAAUACCCCAGCAGGUUAGGAUCUGGUUAAUUAGUUCUCCCUGGGGCAGGCCUUGUUAGGAAGGACAGAGAGCUCUGAUGAAUUUCAAAAUGGUCCUUUUUCCCCUCUGCCUAAAGCACAAGGGGAUUUUUGUCUAGUAUUUACUGUGGGAACCAGCUGGAGCUCCUGGAAGUAAAUCUCACAAAAUUGUGGGGGGCCCUCCCGUGACUGGGUACCCCUGGAGUUUUUUUUAAAUUUAUUUAUUUAUUUUUGCGGUACGCGGGCCUCUCUCACUGUUGUGGCCUCUCCCGUUGCGGAGCACAGGCUCCGGACGCGCAGGCUCAGCGGCCAUGGCUCACGGGCCCAGCCGCUCCGCGGCAUGUGGGAUAUUCCCGGACCGAAGAACGAACCCGCGUCCCCUGCAUCAGCAGGCGGACUCUCCACCACUGUGCCACCAGGGAAGUCCCUAUUUAUUUUAUUUAUUUUUAUUUUUGGCUGCGUUGGGUCUUCGUUACUGUGCUUGGGCUUUCUCUAGUUGCGGCGAGCGGGGGCUACUGUUUGUUGUGGUGCGCGGGCUUCUUACUGCGGUGGCUUCUCGUUGCAGAACACGGGCUCUAGGCAAUCAGGCUUCAGUAGUUGUGGCUCGCGGGCUCUAGAGCACAGGCUCAGUAGUUGUGGCACACGGGCUUAGUUGCUCCGCGGCAUGUGGGAUCUUCCUGGACCAGGGCUUGAACCCAUGUCUCCUGCACUGGCAGGCAGAUUCUUAACCACUGCGCCACCAGGGAAUCCCCCCCUCCCCCCGCCUUCCUGGUGUUUUUAACUCUCAGAGUUGUCCACACUGAGCCUCCAGAUUCAUCAAUUACAGCUCUGGUUUUCCUACCCUGGCACUGGUUCCCGCAGCAGUUUCUGCCCAUGAGUCUCUGCUCUGGUAAGUUUUUAUUCUCUGUAUUCACCUGUCUGGUCUCUCCAAUCUUGGGGGCAGUGGUUUGCCCUGUGUCCUCACCUCUCUUAAGGAUCCUAGAAGUGGUGAUUUUUCAGUCUGUUCAGCUUUUUCGUUGUUAAGAUGGAGUGGUGACUUCCAAGCUCCUUGCAUGUGAAGCUGGAAAAGAGAAGCUACCUAAAGGGCCACAUAUACUUGAAAAGAAUGUACGUUCUGCAGUUGCUGGAUGUAGUGUUCUAUAUGCGUCAGUUAGUUCAAGCUGAUUAAUUGCAUUGUUCAAAUCUAUAUUCUUUAUGACAGAGUUUGUGCUUGUUCUAUCAGUUACUGCAUGAAGCAUGUUAAAAUGUUUAGCUAUGAUUGUGGAUUUGUCUACGUCUCCUUUUAGUUCUGUUAACUUUUGCUUUAUGAUUUUGUAGAUAUUAGGUGCAUGCAAGUUUAGGAUUGUUACAUGUUCCUCAAAACCCAUUUAAAACUAUGAAAUGUCCCUCUUCAACUCUUGGGAUACUUCUAUCUAAAGUCUACUUUGUCUGAUAUUAAUAUGGCCACACCGGCUUGCUUUCUUUGGGUUAGUAUUAGCAUUGUAUCUAUUCUCCCUUUAUUUUACUCUAAAUCCAUCUGUGAUUUUAUAUUUAAAGUGUAUUUCUAAUAAAGAGUACUUAGUAGGAUCUCCUUUUCUCUCAAGUCUGACAAUAUUUUCCUUUAAUUGGAGUGUUUAUUUUCAUUUACAUUUAAUAUAUUUGGUGAUAUAGUUGUGUUUAAGAUUACUGUGUUAGUUAUCUGUUGCUGUGUAACAAAUCACCCCCAAAUUUACUGGCUUAAAACAACAGCAGUCAUUGAUUAUCUCUCAGUUUCUGUGGGUUAAGAAUUCAUGAGUGGCUCGUCUGUAUGAUAGUUCAAAAUUUUCUACAUCCUUGCCAACACUUGUUUUUUUUGUUUGUUUUUUAAAUUUAUUUUUUAAAUUUAUUUUUUAUUUAUUUAUUUUUGGCUAUGUUGGGUGUUCGUUGCUGCACGCGGGCUUUCUCUAGUUGCGGCGAGCGGGGGCUACUCUUCGUUGCAGUGCGCAGGCUUCUCAUUGCGGUGGCUUCUUUUGUUGUGGAGCACAGGCUCUAGGUGCGCGGGCUUCAGUAGUUGUGGCACGUGGGCUCAGUAGUUGUGGCUCGUGGGCUCUAGAGCGCAGGCUCAGUAGUUGUGGCGCACUGGCUGAGUUGCUCCACGGCACGUGGGAUGUUCGCGGACCAGGGCUCGAACCUGUGUCCCCUGCAUUGGCAGGCGGAUUCUUAACCACUGCGCCACCAGGGAAGCCCUGCCAACACUGGUUAUUAUCUGUCUUUUUUAUUGUUGCCAUCCUAAUGGGUUGAAGUGGUAUCUCACUGUGGUUUUGAUUUGCAUUUUCCUAAUGACUAAUGAUCUUGAGUAUCUUUUCACGGGCUUAUUCGACACUUGUAAUUGGACACUUGAGAAAUGUCUACUCAGAUCCUUUGCUCAUUUUAAAAUUGGGUUGUCUUUUUAUUAUUGUUUUGAAAGAGUUAAUUACGUAUUCUAGAUACAAGCCCUUUAUCAGAUCUAUGAUUUGCAAAUAUUUUCUUUCAUUCUGUGAGUUGUCUUUUCACUUUCAAUUUUAAAGAAGUCUAACUUAUCUAUUUUUCCUUUUGUUCACCUUGCUUUUAAAAGGUUGUUACCACUGGUAUAGACUUCUAGGUUGACAGUUUGUUUUCUUUCAGUGCUUUAAACAUGUCAUUCUCUUGUUUUUUGGCAUCUGUUAUGGGUUGAAUUGAGUCGCCCAAAAGAAGAUGUGUGGACAUCCUCAUCCCUAGAAUGCAACCUUAUUUGGAAAUAGUGUGUUGCCAAUGUAAUUAGUUAAGAUGGGGUCAUAAUGGGAAAAGGUGGACCUCUAAUCCAGUAUGACUGGUGUCCUUAUAAGAAGAUGGCCAUGCAAAGACAGAGACACAGGGAGAGUGCCGUGUGAAAAGGAAGGCAGAGAUGGGAGUUAUGCAGCUGCAAGCCACGGAGUGUCCAGGGCUGUCAGAAGCUAGAAAGGAAGGAUUGCCCUAGAGAGCAGGACGCUGCUGACACUUUGAUUUUGGACUUUUAGCCUUCAGAGUGAUGAGACAAUACAUUCUUGUUUUAAACCACCUAAUUUGUGGUACUUACGGCAACCCUAGAAAACUAAUACAGCUACAUAGUUUCUAUUGAAUAGUCAGACACACUCAGAAAUUGAUGUCUUUUUUAAAAAUUUAUGGAAGCAUAGUUGAUUAACAAUGUUGUGUUAGUUACGCUGUACAGCAAAGUGAUUCCGUUUUAUAUGUAUAUAUUCUUUUCCGUAUGAUUUUCCAUUAUGGUUUAUCACAGGAUAUUGAAUAUAGUUCCCUGUGCUUUACAGUAGGACCUUGUAGUUUAUUCAUUCUAUAUAUAAUAGUUUGCAUCUGCUAAUCCCCAACUCCCAAUCCAUCCCUUCCCCCACCCCUUGGCAACCACAGUUCUGUUCCGUAUGUCUGUGAGUCUGUUUCUGUUCUGUAGAUAAGUUCAUUUGUGUCAUAUUUUAGAUUCCACAUAUAAGUGAUAUAUGGCAUUUGUCUUUCUCUUUCUGACUUACUUUACUUAGUAUGAUAAUCUCUAGGUCCAUCCAUGUGCUGCAAAUGGCAAAAUUUCACUCUUUUUAUGGCUGAGUAGUAUUCCAUUUUAUAUGUAUCUAAUACCACAUCUUUAUCCGUUCAUCCAUUGAUGGCCACUUAGGUUGCUUCCGUCUCUUGGCAAUUGUGACUAAUUGUAACUAAUCUACUGUGAACAUUGGGGUGCAUGUAUCUUUUCAAAUUAGUGCUUUUAGUGUUUUUUUUGGAUAUAUACCCAGGAGUGGAAUUGCUGGGUCACAUGGUAGUUCUGUUUUUAGUUUUUGGAGGCAGCUGCAUACUGUUUUCCACAGUGGCUGCAUCAGUUUACAUUCCCACCAGCAGUGUAUGAGGGUUUCCUUCAAAAAAGCUUCUUUAGAAAUUGCUUCUGCGUUCAUGUUUUCUCUUGUCUCCUUAUGCUACUCCAGUUAUACCCGUAACAGAUCAUUUAACAGUGACCCACAUAUCUCACGCGCCUCCUUUGUUUUUGACUUCCGUUCUUUUGUCUUGGAGCUUCAUUAUGAAUAAUUCCUGUUGACCUGUCUUCAAGUUUACUGUUCUUUCCUUCUGUUAGCAGUAGUCUGCUGUUAAAUCCAUCAAAUGAGUUCUUUUAAAAUUAACAUUAUAGAAGUAUAAUACACGUAUGAUAAAAAUGCUCACACUACCCUUGUUUGGUUCACUGAGUUCUGCAAAAUAUCUACACUUCCAUAAUCGCCAUACAAAUCAAGGUACAGGGUGUUUUUUUUAUCCUCCUUCCAGCCAAUCUUCCUUAACUCCUCCAGGCAAUCAGAACUCUGAUUUAGGUUAUGAUUGAUUAGCUUUGCCUAUGCUAGAGUUUAUAUAAAUGAAAUAACAUCACGUGUACACUUUUAGGGCUGGCGUCUUUCUUUCAGCAUAAUGGUUUUGGAUUCACCCAUGAUGUUGCAUGGAUAUGUCAUGUUCCUUUUUAUUGGGUGGUAUUCCUUUGUAUGACUAUACUGCAGUUUGUUUCUGUUCAAAUGAACAUUUGAGUUAUUUCCAAUUUUUUUAUUUUAUGAACAAAGCUUCUAUGAACAUUUGUGUAAAGUCUUUUUAAAGAUAUAUAUUUAUAUUUCUUUUGGACAAAUACCCAGGAGAAUUCUGAAUCGUAGGGUAAAUGUAUAUUCAACUUGACAAGAAACUCCCAGUCUAUUUUACAAAGUGCGGGUACUAUUUUAGACUCCCUUUGGUACUGUGUGAGAGUUCUGUGAGUUCAAUCCUAUGAGAGCUGCAGCUGCUCCAUACUUUUCCAGUGUUCGGUAUUGUCAGUCUUUUAAAAUUUUAGCCUUUCUAGAAGAUGUGUAGUGAUAUCUCUUUGUGGCAAUAAUUUGAAUUUCCCUGGCAAUUGUAGAUGUUGAAUACCUUUAUAUGUUUGUUGGCCAUUAAUACAUCUUAUUUUGAGAAGUGUUCAAGUCUUUUGCCCAUUUUAAAGUUGGAUUUUAAAAAAUCUUUUCAUUAUUAAGUUGUAAAGAUACUUUAUAUAUUCUGAAUUCAACUAAUUUGGUAGAAAACAUAAUUACACAUAUUUUCUCCCAGGUUCUGGCUUACAGUUUCAUUUUCUUAACUUUGUCUUCUGAAGGACAGAAGUUUUCAAUUUUGACGUAGUCCCCUUUAUCUUUUUUUUUUCCUUUUAUGGUUAGUGCUUUUAGUGUCUUGUCUAAAAACCUUGGUCUCCGCCAAGUUCGUGAAGAUUUUCUCCAUUUUUUUCUAGAAGUUUUAUAGUUUUAGCAUUUAUAUUUAGGUCUGUGAUUCAUUUGAGGUAAUUUUUGUGUGCAUUGUGAGUUAGCUUCGGUUUUGUUCAUGCAAAUGUCCAGUUGUUUCAGCACCAUUUAUUGAAAAGACUAUCUUUUCCUCUCCUUGAAUUACACUACAUAUUUAUAGAAAAUCAACUUUGGGUCUAUAUUUGCAACUCUAUUCUGUUUGUAUGAUAUAUUUCCUUACACCAGUACCACACUGUCUUGAUUACUGUAGCUUUAAAACACAUUUUAUUGAAGUAUAGUUGAUUUACAAUGUUAUAAAUAUAUAUUCUUGGGCUUACCUGGUGGCGCAGUGGAGAAUCCGCCUGCCAAUGCAGGGGACCCAGGUUCGAGCCCUGGUCCGGGAAGAUCACACAUACCGCGAAGCAACUAAGCCCGUGUGCCACAACUACUGAGCCCUCGUGCUGCAACUGCUGAAGCCCGCGCGCCUAGAGCCCGUGCUCCACAGCAAGAGAAGCCACCGCAAUGAGAAGCCCGUGCACCGCAACUAAGAGUAGCCCCCGCGCGCCGCAACUAGAGAAAGCCCACGCGCAGCAAUGAAGACCCAACGCAACCAAAAAUAAAUAAAUAAAAAUUUUUUAAAAAGUCAUGCCAAAAACUGAAGAAAACGUUUGCAACACAUAUAUUUAACGAAAACCUUGUCUCCAGGAUAUAUGAAGAACUCAAUAAUUAAUUAAAAGACAAAACACCACAACAAAAAACAGGCAAAAGCCUUGGACACUUAACAAAAGAAGAUAUAUGAAUAGCCAGUAGGCUCGUGAAAAGGUGUUCAAUAUUUUUAAACAUUAUGAAAAUUCAAAUUAAAACCACAAUGAAAUGCCACUACACACCUGCUAGAAUAGUUAAAAUUUUAAAAGACUCUCAAUAUCAAGUGUUGGCAAGUACAAAGAAUAACACCUUCCCGGUACUACACGGGAAACAGCCCAAACAUUCAUCCAUAAUAGAAUGGAUAGAUAAAUUCUGACAAGUUACUACCAUGAAAUCCCACAGAGUAAGGAGAAUGAGCAAAGUACUACCUUCACAACAAAGCGGUUGAAUCUCUCAAAUGCGAUGCUGAGUGAAAGAAGAUGGAAACCAGAGUCGCUGGAAUGUAUGAUUCCAACGAUACAAAGCUCAUAACCUGGCAAAAGUAAUCGAUGGUGUGGGAACCAGGAUAGUGGUUACCUUUGGGGGGCAGAAGUGGUUGGAAGAGGGUUUAAGGGGGAAAGGUCUAUGCCUUGACCCAUUUUGGUUACAUAGAUUCACUCUGGAAAUUCACUGACCUUUGCACUAAUGAUCAGUGUGCCUUUCUGUAAAAUUCAAAGAGGAUAGUUUUAUAAAUCAGAAAGUGGUAGCCUUUCUUCCUCCAAUCCUAUUCCCCAGAGGUAGCCAUGGAUACAAAUUGGGUAGUGUCUUUAUCCAGUUAUAAAUACAUUUACUGAGCUGUAAAUAUAUUUACUCGCAUUUUUCACGUAACAGUGUAUCUUGGAGGAUGUGGCAUAUCAGAACUGUGAAGAGCUGCCUCCAAUCUUUUAUCAGUUACGUUGUAUUCCAUUGCGGGGAGACCCAGUAUAAACAGUCAGCUGUUGACUGUUUUCCAUAUUAGCCACUUUGAGCAGUGUAGCAGUGUCCAUUUUGCACCUGUGUGAGUAUUGCAAAGGGAUGCAUUCUUAGAAGUGGGGUUUCUGAGUUCAAGGAUAUGAGCAUUUUAAAUUCCCCUUUGAAAACCGCUCCAUGUAUAACAAAGUGCUUUAGGCGAGACUAUAAGAAAAUGUGGGAGAGCUAGUGAUACCGUUUUCCGCCUCAGGGCCUCUGGGAUAUUGUGAACUGCAAGAUGAUAUCUGUGUUCCAGGUGAAGGUUGAAUCUCAGAGCAGAUGCUGCCUCCUCCAGGAAGCCCUCCCUGAUUCCCAGACAGGGUCAGAGAAUUCUUGGGCUUCCCCAGCUGCCUGAGCUCCCCACAUCUAGCCCUGACCACUCUGGAUGAUAGAUGUGUCUCCCCAUACACCCCCCCCCCGACUUGUCAGUUCCAUAAGAGCAGGGCCAAAGCUGUUGAAGUCACCACAGUGUCCCCAGCACCACCCUGCACAAGGUUGGGCACAGAGGAUGAACUCGGAUGGAUGGAUGGAUGGAAUUUAUAGGACUAGAGAGAGUGGAGACUCCGAGCGGACGGGACUCAGCUCCCAGGGGCUCAGAGAGGGGGGUAGAGACUUGAGGAUUGGGAGGGGGGCUUCCAGAAGGGGACAGGGUCUCAAGGAGAGAGAUAGAGACUCAGAGAAGGGUGGCAUCUCAGGGAUAGGCAUGGGAACUCAGAGAGGUGACUGGGGCUUAGAGAGAGGAGUUAAAGCUGGCGAGGACCACGGAUGCUCCGAUAGGGGGUGCAAGUUGCAGAAGGCCUGGGAGCUGAGGCGCCAGGCAGGGUGCGGGCUCGGUAAGUUCCCUCCUUUGUCCUCCUCCUUUUGCAGACAGCGAGACCCAGGCUUGUCUCCUCAAGCUUGCCACCUGCUCAGAUCUGCAGGGCUGGGGAGGGGCCCAGGGGCUUUGCUGGGUCAGCACUGGACGCCGUUGAUCUCUCCCCUACACCUACACUGUUCAUCAGAGAGGCAUUGGGCUGAAAAGGAGGGUCCCCACCCUCUCUGGGCAGGGAUGGAGGGGAGGGGGCGGGAAGCCCCAGGGCAGUGUGGAUCCUGACCCCUGGUGCCUCUCCUUGCCCAGAAUUUCCCGCCCAGGUGACUUUUUGGUCCUGGCUGCACUUUCACGUUUAGAUGGGGUUGAAUUAUCCUGAUUCCAGUUGACUCAAGCCCAGUUCGAGGAGAGGGCAUGGCCGCCUGGAGGCUCCCUGCCUCCCUUCCUCUCAUCUGGACCGUGGCCAUGGAUAGUCGCCUCCCCAUCUGGCUUCAUCUUUCUCCCCAGUGAUGGGGCCGCUCAGCCGCUUCCUGGUUGUGUGACCAGGGUGACCGUCAGAGCCUUGGGGACCUCAUCAGUGCACCAGGGAAAAUAACACCAUCCACCUCACGAGGGUUGCCGGGGAUAGGACCAGGCAGUGAGGCACCGGGUACAGUGAGUUAGGAGCGCGCUUGUCCUGGCACACAGCGGGGCUGGCAGACAGUGGCCAAGAGCUCUUGGAGUCUAUCUGAUUGGGGUUCAGAUUCCAGCCACUGCCUCUAACAUACUGUCCUAACCUUCUGAGCCUGCUUCCUGCCUGACAGAAACAGUCCCUUCUCCCAGGGCCAGGGGGAUGGCGCCGUGAGAUGUUCUGCAUCUCAGACACACUCAGGGAACCCCUUGCACAGAACAGGUACCCAGUAAACAGUUGCCGCCCUGCCCCAAUCCCACAGCCAGAAAUCACCUCCGUCUGAAUCCAAACAGUGCGUGUUUCACAAGCGCUCUCUCUGGGUUAGGAUCUGAGCCAAACGCCUCACAAACAGCCUCCUCGCUGAGCGCUCCCAGCCCGCUCGCUUGGCAGCGGGGCUGUUGUCAGAGCCUGGGGUGAGCAGGAGGGGUCCCGCCCCUGGCACUCGUGGGAUGGUGACUUUAGCUGCACUCCUGCCCCCAUCUGGGCCUCUGUCUCCAAAUCUGCAGGUUUGUUGAACGAAUCCUCGGGAGCAUCAACUGUCAGGAGUCUCUCUCCCAUUUUACAAACAUGGAAACUGAGGGAGUUCCCUGGUGGCCUAGUGGUUAGGACUCCAGGCUUUCACUGCCGUGGCCUUGGUUCAGUCCCUGGUUGGGGAACUGAGAUCCCGCAAGCCGUGCAGUGAGGCCAAAAAAAAAAAAAAAAGAAAAAAAAGUGGAAACUGAGGCUCAGGGUAAGGUCAGAGCUUCUCAGGGGACCAAGAAAAUGUUUGUAAUCUGGAAAAAACGUGGAGCACAACGUUCACAACCAAAAAGUAAAAAACGCCUAAAUGUCCGUCAGCUGAUACACGGGUAAGUAAAAUGUGGUGCGUCCAGACAGUGGAAUGUUAUCUGACGAUAAAAAGAAAUGAUGUACUGACACGUGCUACAACACGAUGAACCUUGAAAAUAUCAUGCAGAGUGAAGGAAGACUGACCCGAAAUAUCACUUAUUUAUUCACAAUAGGCAAGAUACAGAAACAACCCAAAUGUCCAGCAGCAGAUGAACGGAUAAAGAAAGUGUUGUAUAGCCCAUACGGCAGAAUAUUUUGCAGCCUUUACAAAGAGGGAAAUCCUCCCGUUUGUGACAAUAUGAUUGAACCUGGAAGCCAUUACGUGAAGUGAAAUAAGCCUGUCACAAAAGGACAGAUUCUGCCUGAUGCCACUCACGUGAGGUAUUCAAAAUACUCAGACUCUGG